UACAGAGGGUGCAAGCGUUAAUCGGAAUUACUGGGCGUAAAGCGUGCGUAGACGGUUAUGUAAGUCGGGUGUGAAAGCCCCGGGCUCAACCUGGGAAUGCCAUUCGAGACUGCAUAGCUAGGGUGCGGAAGAGGGAAGCGGAAUUUCCGGUGUAGCGGUGAAAUGCGUAGAUAUCGGAAGGAACGCCGGAGGCGAAAGCGGCGCACUGGAUCUCUUCGUGACGCUGAGGCGCGAAAGCUAGGGGAGCAAACGGG
rnacentral:rRNA from 1 species